rnacentral:rRNA from 1 species
CAGCCGCCACGGUAAUACGUAGGGUGCGAGCGUUAAUCGGAAUUACUGGGCGUAAAGCGUGCGCAGGCGGUUGUGUGAGACAGGUGUGAAAUCCCCGGGCUUAACCUGGGAACUGCGCUUGUGACUGCACAGCUAGAGUAUGGCAGAGGGGGGUGGAAUUCCACGUGUAGCAGUGAAAUGCGUAGAGAUGUGGAGGAACACCGAUGGCGAAGGCAGCCCCCUGGGCCAAUACUGACGCUCAUGCACGAAAGCGUGGGGAGCGAACAGGAUUAGAGACCCCAGUAGUCCCUGUCUCUUAUAA